GUCCCUGUAGCGCAAUAGAUAGCUCGUUGGACGUCUAAUCCAAAGGUCGUAGGUUCGUAUCCUAUCUGGGAAU